rnacentral:rRNA from 1 species
UGAGCAAUCUGCCCUUCUCUUCGGAAUAAGCGUUGGAAGCGACGUCUAAUGCCGAAUACGACCUCCUUUCGCAUGAUCGGAGGUGGAAAGUUCCGGCGGAGAAUGAUGAGCUCGCGGCCUAUCAGCUAGUUGGUGUGGGUAAUGGCCCACCAAGGCGACGACGGGUAGCCGGCCUGAGAGGGUGACCGGCCACACGUGGGACUGAGACACGGCCCAGACCUCCGUACGGGAGCAG